rnacentral:rRNA from 1 species
GUCUUGGAUCCUGUCGGAUUAACGCUGGCGGGAUGUUUACACAUGCAAGUCGAACGGCAGCACGGACUUCGGUCUGGUGGCGAGUAUGAACGGGUGAGUAAUGUAUCGAAACGCCUAGUAGCGGGGGAUAACUACGCGAAGCGUAGCUAAUACCACACAGCCCUUCGGGGGAAAGCGGGGGACCCGGGCCUCGCACUAUUAGAGCGGCCAAUAUCGGACCAUUAGUUGGUGGGGUAACGGCUCAACAAGGCGACGAUCCGUAGCUGGUUUGAGAGGACGACCAGCCACACUGGGACUGAGACACGGCCCAGACUCCUACGGGAGGCAGCAGUGGGAAUUUUGGAUUUAAAUGGGAAAUCCUGAUCCAGCCAUCCCGCGUGUGCGAUGAAGGCCUUCGCUGUAAAGCACUUCGCGGAAAGAAACGGCACGGGAUAAAUACCCGUGCAACGACGGUACCUUCCGCAGAAUAAGCACCGGCUAACUACGUGCCAGCAGCCGCGGUAAUACGUAGGGUGCAAGCGUUAAUCGGAAUUACUGGGCGCAGCGUGCGCAGGCGGUUCGGAAAGAAAGAUGUGAAAUCCCAGAGCUUAACUUUGGAACUGCAUUUUUAACUACCGAGCUAGAGUGUGUCAGAGGGAGUGGAAUUCCGCGUGUAGCAGUGAAAUGCGUAGAUAUGCGGAGGAACACCGAUGGCUAUGAAGGCAGCCUCCUGGGAUAACACUGACGCUCAUGCACGAAAGCGUGGGGAGCAAACAGGAUUAGAUACCCUGGUAGUCCACGCCCUAAACGAUGUCAAUCUAGCUGUUGGGGCCUUCGCCUUGGUAGCGCAGCUAACGCGUGAAGUUGACCGCCUGGGGAGUACGGUCGCAAGAUUAAAACUCAAAGGAAUUGACGGGGACCCGCACAAGCGGAUGAUGUGAUUAAUUGAUGCAACGCGAAAAACCUUACCUACCCUUGACAUGUCUGGAAUCCCGAAGAGAUUUGGGAGUGCCUGCAAGAGAACCGGAACACAGGUGCCGUACGGCUACGUCAGCUUUCGUGUCGUGAGAUGUUGCCAAGUCCCGGCAACGAGCGCAACCCUGUCAUUAGUUGCUACGAAAGGGCACUCUAAUGAGACUGCCGGUGACAAACCGGAGGAAGGUGGGGAUGACGUCAAGUCCUCAUGGCCCUUAUGGGUAGGGCUUCACACGUCAUACAAUGGUCGGGACAGAGGGUCGCCAACUCAAGAGGGGGAGCCAAUCCCAGAAACCCGAUCGUAGUCCGGAUCGCAGCUGCAACCUCGACCGCGUGAAGUCGGAAUCGCUAGUAACCGCGGAUCAGCAUGUCGCGGUGAAUACGUUCCCGGGUCUUGUACACACCGCCUGUCACACCAUGGGAGUGGGUUUUACUUAGAAGUAGUUAGCCUAACUGUAAGGAGGGCGAUUACCACGGUAGGAUUCAUGACUGGGGUGAAGUCGUAACAAGGUA